rnacentral:rRNA from 1 species
GCUUGCUGGGGGAUUAGUGGCGAACGGGUGAGUAACACGUGGGCAACCUGCCUAUAAGACUGGGAUAACUUCGGGAAACCGGAGCUAAUACCGGAUAAUUCUUUUCUACACAUGUAGAAAAGCUAAAAGACGGUUUACGCUGUCACUUAUAGAUGGGCCCGCGGCGCAUUAGCUAGUUGGUGAGGUAACGGCUCACCAAGGCUACGAUGCGUAGCCGACCUGAGAGGGUGAUCGGCCACACUGGGACUGAGACACGACCCAGACUCCUACGGGAGGCAGCAGUAGGGAAUCUUCCGCAAUGGACGAAAGUCUGACGGAGCAACGCCGCGUGAGUGAUGAAGGUUUUCGGAUCGUAAAACUCUGUUGUUAGGGAAGAACAAGUACGAGAGUAACUGCUCGUACCUUGACGGUACCUAACCAGAAAGCCACGGCUAACUACGUGCCAGCAGCCGCGGUAAUACGUAGGUGGCAAGCGUUGUCCGGAAUUAUUGGGCGUAAGGCGCGCGCAGGCGGUCCUUUAAGUCUGAUGUGAAAGCCCACGGCUCAACCGUGGAGGGUCAUUGGAAACUGGGGGACUUGAGUGCAGGAGAGAAGAGUGGAAUUCCACGUGUAGCGGUGAAAUGCGCAGAGAUGUGGAGGAACACCAGUGGCGAAGGCGACU